rnacentral:snRNA from 1 species
UGUGCUUCGCUUCGGCGGCACAUUAUACUAAACUGGAAACGACACAGAGAAGAUUAGCAUGGCCCUGCACAAGGGAUGACACACUAAUUCGUGAAGCGUUCUAUAUUUUU